GUGUCAGCAGCCGCGGUAAUACGUAGGGGGCGAGCGUUGUCCGGAAUUAUUGGGCGUAAAGAGCGUGUAGGCGGUUCGGUAAGUCUGUCGUGAAAUCCUGGGGCUCAACCUCGGGCGUGCGAUGGAUACUGCCGGGCUAGAGGGUGGUAGAGGCGAGUGGAAUUCCCGGUGUAGCGGUGAAAUGCGCAGAUAUCGGGAGGAACACCAGUAGCGAAGGCGGCUCGCUGGGCCACACCUGACGCUGAGACGCGAAAGCUAGGGGAGCGAACAGGAUUAGAUACCCGAGUAGUCC
rnacentral:rRNA from 1 species